rnacentral:rRNA from 1 species
GACGAACGCUGGCGGCGUGCUUAACACAUGCAAGUCGAACGGAAAGGCCCUGCUUUUGUGGGGUGCUCGAGUGGCGAACGGGUGAGUAACACGUGAGUAACCUGCCCUUGACUUUGGGAUAACUUCAGGAAACUGGGGCUAAUACCGGAUAGGAGCUCCUGCCGCAUGGUGGGGGUUGGAAAGUUUCGGCGGUUGGGGAUGGACUCGCGGCUUAUCAGCUUGUUGGUGGGGUAGUGGCUUACCAAGGCUUUGACGGGUAGCCGGCCUGAGAGGGUGACCGGCCACAUUGGGACUGAGAUACGGCCCAGACUCCUACGGGAGGCAGCAGUGGGGAAUAUUGCUCAAUGGGCGGAAGCCUGAUGCAGCAACGCCGCGUGCGGGAUGACGGCCUUCGGGUUGUAAACCGCUUUCGCCUGUGACGAAGCGUGAGUGACGGUAAUGGGUAAAGAAGCACCGGCUAACUACGUG